rnacentral:misc_RNA from 1 species
UAUGAAGAACGUAGCGAAAUGCGAUAAGUAAUGUGAAUUGCAGAAUUCAGUGAAUCAUCGAAUCUUUGAACGCACAUUGCGCCCCUUGGUAUUCCGAGGGGCAUGCCUGUUCGAGCGUCAUUAUAACCCUCAAGCUCAGCUUGGUGUUGGGGCCUGCUGCACUGGCAGCCCUUAAAAUCAGUGGCGGCGCCAUCUGGCUCUAAGCGUAGUAAUUCUUCUCGCUAUGGAGUCCUGGUGGAUGCUUGCCAUCAACCCCCAAUUUUUCUAUGGUUGACCUCGGAUCAGGUAGGGAUACCCGCUGAACUUAAGCAUAUCAAUAAGCGGAGGA